CACCGCAUAGUGCAGUGGAUUAGCGUGUUUGACUUUGAAUCAAAAGGUCGUGGGUUCGACUCCCACUAUGAUCG